rnacentral:sRNA from 1 species
GUCGACUACAGUUCUUAAUCCGUCCCAAUACUUCGUCGUUUUAUAAGUAGCAUGUACUUCACAUUUUCGAAAACAAGUUUUUAUCUAGUUUUAUUCCGCAGACCUUGUGUUCUAGACCUUUUGUAAUCUGGAUUUCUCUUUAUCUAUUCAGUAUUCAGUAUUCAGCUUUUGUUCUUGAUUUCGUUUACUAUUGUUCAUUCUGUUAUCAUCCUGCUGUUACACUGUUGUUAUCAUGUUUUCAACUUGUUCAACGUUUAUGCUUUCUGUUAUGAUGUCUGAGUAGUGAAUAGGUUUCUGAGGAUGGGUUAGAGUAGUGUAGAAUUCUCAGUAUGCUAGGUGAUUGAGUAUUGAUUGAUAGAUCCCUUCUAGAUUAGUUGUUCUUAAUGCCUAUUGCUUUCUGAUCAACUGGAAUUUGAGCCCAGACAUUUCUGCGCCCAAAAGGUGUUCGAUGAAAUGUCUGAACCACUAAUUCUAGAGAUUCGUGACCAUGUACCAAGGUAUUGGUUGCAGGGAGCGUUUUGGCUUUAACUUGUUGAUUCGUAAUGCCUGUUAGGUUAGCUCUCGUCAAUGGUGAUUGAGUUUGGGACUAGGUUAACUGGAGAGUCUCUGUUGCGGUGGCACUUAGAUUUGGUUAAUGAACUUGUUGUCUAGGGUUAAUUUAUUGAGCAUGUCAAUCACCUCUCGGGAAUUCUUUAUCUGAUUGAAUUCUUUGUUUAUUCUACUGUUGUUUACUGCAUCUUGUUAUCUGUCGCUUAAUUUCUACAGUUCUUUCUUGUUACUCGACCACCCAGUUGUCUGGCAACAGACUGUGCAAUCGAGUAUCUGUGUUUUAUUUUCUGUCUAUUACUCGACCUGUCACUCGACCUCACCUAGUGCUCUGCAAAGAGCUGUGUUGGUCGAGUGUUUUACUGUUUCUGCUUGAAUUUCGGUUUUCUGCAUGUUCACUUAGAACUGCUAGAACACACCACAACCUGUUAUUGCUUGGCUUGACUUAGUGACUGCUGAUCACAUCUUGAUUGUUAGCAUCACAACCAUUUGGAUUGACAACCUUCAGUACUACAACGACAUGAUAGUGCUUUAGGUUUAAUUGAUUUAAAA